UUUAUUAAUAUAUAUAAUUAAAAUUACAAAUCAAAUCACAUGAAAUAAUCUAAAUGCUUUUAUGUAUAUAUAUAUAUCCCUUUCUCAUUGCUUCUACUUCUUUUCUUUGGUAAACGAUCCCUUUAUUAACUAUUAACUAUUAUCUAAUAAACCCUAGAGAGUAAAGAGUUCCCCUUUUCUGAAAUUGAGUUGAUAAAUCUUGUUUUUUUUUUUUUGGGAUUUUGAGUCUUUUUAAUCUGCUCUGAACUCACCUGGGUCGAACUCAAAUUAUAUUUUUUUCGAAUUUUUCCAUUGAGGCAAAACGUCGAACACCUGGUUUGCGUUUUCUGUUUGGUAGGAAAUUGCAAGAAGUGAGAUUCUAAUUGGAAGACAGAGAUAGUUCGAUUUUGUGUGAUUUAGUAUCCAAUUACUGAUUAUUAAUUGUGAAGUUGAACCCCUUUUUGCUUGGAAUAUUGUGAGAGAACUUGUUCUAAUUCUAUUUGUCAGCAUAAUUUGGUUAUUGGGUUGAAUAUAUGGGUGCCCUCUAAAAUUCUUAAUCACCAAAUUGGGGAUUCUCUAUUUACAUCAGAUUUUGGAUACUGGGUAUUGCGAAUUUGAAUCUAAGAAGGAGGAUAUAAACUGUGGUGGUUAAAUCAUAAUAACCAAAAAAAAACAUUUGAGUGAGAUUGAGCAGUUCAAUCAUCUGGGUAUGAUUGGUAUUGUGGGGUUUUGUUUAUUGUGGAUUUCGAUGAUCAACAUUGAUUUGGUGAUUUUGGGUGUUUGAGGAGCUUUGAUCUGUUUUCUUAUGAUGGAUGAACUUCAAGGUGGUUCGAAUGCGUUGCCUCCUUUUCUUACAAAGACUUAUGAGAUGGUAGAUGAUCCUUCCACUGACUCCAUUGUUUCCUGGAGUUCGAGUAACAAGAGCUUUGUUGUGUUGAAUCCCCCGGAAUUUUCGAGGAUUUUGUUACCCAGAUUCUUCAAGCACAACAAUUUCUCAAGCUUCAUUAGACAAUUGAACACUUAUGGUUUCAGGAAGGUGGAUCCUGAGCAAUGGGAAUUUGCCAAUGAUGAUUUCAUAAGAGGGCAAUCACACCUCCUGAAAAACAUACAUAGGCGAAAGCCGGUUCAUAGUCACUCGUUGACUAAUCUCCAUGGACAGGUGAACUCUAAUCCCUUAACUGAUUCUGAAAGGCAGAAAUACAAAGAUGAUAUUGAGCGACUGAAACAUGAAAGAGAGUUUCUUCUCUUGGAGUCACAAAGGCAAAGGCAGGAGGAGCAGGACAUUGAGUUACAGGUGCAGCCUUUGAGGGAGCGCCUGCAACAUAUGGAACAACGGCAGCAUACAUUUGUUUCGUAUUUUGCUCAGUUGUUGCAGAAACCGGAGCUUGCUUUAGAGCCCCAAUUAGAAAACCAGGAUAGAAAGAGAAGGGUUUCUUCUAGGCCUGAACAUUUUAAUGAUGAAACAAGUAACGAAGAUAGCAUGUGUACUGUAAGAACAUCACGGAAAGGAAGUCCUGAUUAUGCUUCUGGUUUAGACUUGGAUACUGAGCUUUUAGAGAGAAUGGAAUCAUCUCUAUCGUUUUGGGAAACUGUGGUAGAAGAUAUUGGAGGCCUAAGUGUGCAGAGAAAUUCAUCCAUUGAGCUUGCUGAAUCCACUUCUUGUGUGCAGAGCCCCGCGAUAUCUUAUACACAACUCAAUAUUGAUGUUCCAUCUAAUUCAUCGAGGAUUGACAUGAAUUCCGAACCUUCUGUCACAGCUUCUGUAGUUGCUCCUGACCGUGUUCCACAGGAGGAACAAGAAGCCGGAACUGCCCCAGCUGCACCACAGGGAGUGAACGAUGUAUUCUGGGAACAAUUUUUGACUGAAAAUCCGGGUUCGUCUGAUGUGCAGGAAGUUCAGUCUGAAAGAAAAGAUCCAGGUGUGAGAGAGAAAGAUAGCAGACUCAUAGAUCAUGGGAGAUAUUGGCUGGGUUUCAGAAACUCUAACAAUAUUCCAGAACACAUUGGGCAGCUUACUUCAGCAGGCAGGAGUUGACACUUACAAAUCAUUUUUGACUUUGAUGCAUAGAGUUGGAUGUAAAUAUAGGUUGUUGCAGACUUUUGCGGCACAAGUUUGGUCUUUCUUUUUACACUCAACUUGCAAUACAGCCGGUAAUUUAUAUUGGUGCUUUUUUAUCGAGUCACUUGGUAAAGGUAACUAAGUGGAAGCAUCAUUAUCAAAAACUAAAAAGCAUUCAAAACCAUUCUUAGGGUUCAAUAAGGCUGUAAAAUUUGACUUCGUCUACUCUGCUUUUAGUGAAAGUUGGUUGUCUCUAAUUGCGGGUAGCUUUAGUUUUCUAAAAUGAUUUCCAAUGUUAUAGUAUUAGUGGUUAAUUUCCCUGUCUUUUACUUAUUGGGAAAGUAUUGUGACAGACCGUCUGACACAAUACAUUCAGUCGGACAAGAACUUAAGAGAAAGAAAUUAAUGACAGCAACUCACGACCACUCCUCUCUCUCCUCCAAACCCUUUUAAACCCUCCUAAAAUUUCUCACCCUUCAAAAUCCAUUUUUUCAAUUCUCAAAUCUCUCUCCUCAAAGUCCUCUUUCAUGGAAAAACCCACUAAAGAAUUGGAAAAUCUGGGUCAAAAAAUUAAGCCCUUCAUGCAAAUCAAUUUGGAAGCAAUCAUGUAUUUAUGAAGCAAUCAUGGGUUCAACCUAUGAAAUUCCGAAAUGUAGAGCAUCUAUGUUUGCGCUUGCUGAGAAAUGGUGCCCAGAAAGUAACACAUUUGUGCUUCAAAUUGUUGUGCUCUUAGCUAGAGGGACUAAGAUUGCAAUGACUCAAACAAGACCAAGACACUGACUUUUUUCUUCUUGAUUGAAACAUUAGAGGACGAUGGCGACAUAGGUUGUGGUGGUGGUGUUGUUUCUUUCAUUUCUUUUGUUUAUUGUUUGAGUUGAAUGUUUUCAAUUGGUUUUAUUUUUCUUUCAUUUAGUCGAAUUUUUCUUUUCAGUUAGUCGAAUUAUUCUUUCAGUUUGUUGGUCUAUUCUUUCAGUUGGUUGGUUUAUCCUUUCAGUUGGUUACUUUGUUCUUUCAGUUGGUUAUUUUAUUCUUUCAGUUGGUUCAUUUAUUCUUUCAGUUGGUUUCUUUAUUCUUUCAGUUCGUUCCUUUAUUCUUUCAGUUGGUUGUUGGUCAAGCUGGUCCGACCACUUCCAUUGUGUCAGAUGAGUCUGACACAAUGGCUUCUCUUACUUGUUAUAUUAUCAAUAAAUAUAUUUUUUUUUUGA